rnacentral:lncRNA from 1 species
AGAUGAUUGGUGUGUCGAUUCCACUGAAAGAACACGAUGAAGCAAGAUUGGGUGAAAUGAACGUUCAGACUGACUAUCUCUGUGCUGGAAAUAUCAUCGGAGAAAUGGGGAUGUUGACUGGUUCUGCUAGGAAUGCUUCUGUCAUUUGUGAAACCACUGUUCAGGUAUGCUACGAUAUGCUAUGAUGUGAUGUGACAUGGUAUGGCAUAGUGUGGUGUGGUAUGAUAUGGUUGUGGUAUGAUAUGGUAUGGUGUGGUAUGGUAUGGUAUGUAUGGUAUGUAUGGUACGGUGUGGUAUGAUAUGUAUGGUGUGGUAUGAUAUGGUGUGGUAUGAUGUGGUAUGAUAUGGUAUGGUAUGGUAUGGUACGGUGUGGUAUGAUAUGGUAUGGUAUGGUACGGUGUGGUAUGAUAUGGUAUGGUGUGGUAUGAUAUGUUAUGUUAUGAUAUGGUGUGGUAUGGUGUGGUAUGAUAUGUUAUGAUAUGGUGUGGUAUGGUGUGGUAUGAUAUGAUAUGGUAUGGUACGGUGUGGUAUGAUAUGGUAUGGUAUGGUACGGUGUGGUAUGAUAUGGUAUGGUAUGGUACGGUGUGGUAUGAUAUGGUAUGGUAUGGUACGGUGUGGUAUGAUAUGGUAUGGUAUGGUACGGUGUGGUAUGAUAUGGUAUGGUAUGGUACGGUGUGGUAUGAUAUGGUAUGGUGUGGUAUGAUAUGUUAUGAUAUGGUGUGGUAUGGUGUGGUAUGAUAUGUUAUGAUAUGGUGUGGUAUGGUGUGGUAUGAUAUGUUAUGAUAUGGUGUGGUAUGGUGUGGUAUGAUAUGAUAUGGUAUGGUACGGUGUGGUAUGAUAUGGUACGGUGUGGUAUGAUAUGGUGUGAUAUGGUAUGAUAUGGUAUGAUAUGGUAUGGUACGGUGUGGUAUGAUAUGGUGUGGUAUGGUGUGGUAUGAUAUGGUGUGGUAUGGUACGGUGUGGUAUGAUAUGGUGUGGUAUGGUACGGUGUGGUAUGAUAUGGUGUGGUAUGGUACGGUGUGGUAUGAUAUGGUUGUGGUAUGGUGUGGUAUGAUAUGGUAUGGUGUGGUGUGGUAUGAUAUGGUACGGUGUGGUAUGAUAUGGUAUGGUGUAGUAUUGUGUGGUAUGGUACGGUGUGGUAUGGUGUGGUAUGGUGUGAUAUGAUAUGGUGUGGUGUAUGGUAUGGUGUGGUAGUGCUAUCUAUAGUAUGGUGUGUUAUGUUACAAUAUGAUGCAGUGCUAUACUAAGUAUUACCAUCACAUUCUGUUUUUCUAGUUAUAUUUUCUCUCUGUUGAGAAGAUGGAAAAAGCACUACAACUCUAUCCCUCACUAACGGAAAGCAUCUGGCGAGUAUGUAGUAUCCGUAUUGCAGUACCCUUGCUCAUGAGUCACCCGACUUACAGCGGCUGGACUAAAGAGAAAAUCAGAUUAUUCUGUGAAAAAUCUACAAUGGUAGACCUACCCAAAGCUAGUCAGGGCCAAACUAUAUUUCAACCAUCGCCACAUGCGGUAGAGCUGGUUCUUAUCCAUGGUAAAGUAACGUGUGUUUCCAACCGCGACACUUUUGAAGGACCAUGUAUACUUCCUAACUGUGAUGAGAGGUUACUAGUCCACCAUACUGACGGGACGUCACCUCGGAUACUGGAGAUUCAAGGUGUUGAAUCUGACUCUCACCUGGGAACUACCAGACUGCAGAGUAUCACCGAGGAAGAUCUUGCUG